UCCGGCUUGUCGCCGGCAGUCUCUCUAGAGUCCCCGACAUUACUCGCUGGCAACUAGAGACGGGGGUUGCGCUCGUUGCGGAACUUAAUCCAACACCUCACGGCACGAGCUGACGACAGCCAUGCACCACCUGUGAUGGUGUCCCGAAGGAAAACCGUGUUUCCACGGCGGUCACCAACAUGUCAAGUCUUGGUAAGGUUCUUCGCGUUGCAUCGAAUUAAUCCGCAUGCUCCGCUGCUUGUGCGGGUCCCCGUCAAUUCCUUUGAGUUUUAGCCUUGCGGCCGUACUCCCCAGGCGGGGCACUUAAUGCGUUAGCUCCGGCACGGGAGGAGUCGACACCUCCCACACCUAGUGCCCAUCGUUUACGGCGUGGACUAC
rnacentral:misc_RNA from 1 species